rnacentral:rRNA from 1 species
AAUCAACGCUGGCGGCGUGCCUAACACAUGCAAGUCGAACGAGAAAGUGGGGGCAACCCUGCGAGUACAGUGGCAGACGGGUGAGUAACACGUGAACAACCUACCCUUGAGUGGGGAAUAACACCGCGAAAGCGGAGCUAAUACCGCAUAACAUCUUGAGCUCGCAUGGGCGAGAGAUCAAAGCCGAAAGGCGCUUGAGGAGGGGUUCGCGGCUGAUUAGCUAGUUGGUGAGGUAACGGCUCACCAAGGCGACGAUCAGUAGCCGGCCUGAGAGGGCGAACGGCCACACUGGAACUGAGACACGGUCCAGACUCCUACGGGAGGCAGCAGGUGGGGUAAUUUUGCGCAAUGGGACGAAAGCCUGACGCAGCAACGCCGCGUGGAGGAUGAAGGCCUUCGGGUCGUAAACUCCUGUCGACGGGAAGAAAGCCGAAAGGUUUGACUGUACCCGUUGAGGAAGCCACGGCUAACUCCGUG